rnacentral:rRNA from 1 species
AUUGAACGCUGGCGGCAGGCCUAACACAUGCAAGUCGAGCGAGCGACGGACGGGUGCGUACUGUCUGGGAAACUGCCUGAUGGCGGGGGAUAACAACUGGAAACGGUAGCUAAUCCCGCACACCAUCCGAUUUGCCCAGAUGGGAUUAGCUAGAAGGUGGGGUAACGGCUCACCUAGGCGACGAUCCCUAGCUGGUCUUAAAGGAUGACCAUCCACACUGGAACUGAGACACGGUCCAGACUCCUACGGGAGGCAGCAGUGGGGAAUAUUGCACAAUGGGCGAAAGCCUGAUGCAGCCAUGCCGCGUGUGUGAAGAAGGCCUUCGGGUUGUAAAGCACUUUCAGCGGGGAGGCGUUACCCGCAGAAGAAGCACCGGCUAACUCCGUGCCAGCAGCCGCGGUAAUAC